CACUGCUAUCGGGGUUCGACUAAGCCAUGCGAGUCGUAUGUUCCCCUUCGGGGGAGCAUGGCGCACUGCUCAGUAACACGUGGAUAACCUACCCUUGGGACAGGGAUAACCCCGGGAAACUGGGGAUAAUACCUGAUAGACCAUGGAGGCUGGAAGGCGCCAUGGUUCAAAGGGGCAACCGCCCGCCCAAGGAUGGGUCUGCGGCCUAUCAGGUUGUAGUGGGUGUAACGCACCUACUAGCCUACGACGGGUACGGGCUGUGGGAGCAGGAGCCCGGAGAUGGAUUCUGAGACAUGAAUCCAGGCCCUACGGGGUGCAGCAGGCGCGAAAACUUUACAAUGCGGGAAACCGUGAUAAGGGAACCUCGAGUGCCGAUGCAUAGCAUCGGCUGUCCAGAUGCCUAAAAAGCAUCUGAUAGCAAGGGCCGGGCAAGACCGGUGCCAGCCGCCGCGGUAACACCGGCGGCUCGAGUGGUGGCCACUUUUAUUGGGUCUAAAGCGUCCGUAGCCGGCUUGGCAAGUCCCCUGGGAAAUCUGGCGGCUUAACCGUCAGGCGUCCAGAGGAUACUGCCAGGCUUGGGACCGGGAGAGGUGAGAGGUACCUCAGGGGUAGGGGUGAAAUCUUGUGAUCCCUGAGGGACCACCAGUGGCGAAGGCGUCUCACU
rnacentral:rRNA from 1 species